rnacentral:rRNA from 1 species
AUUGAACGCUGGCGGCAGGCCUAACACAUGCAAGUCGAGCGGAUGACGGGAGCUUGCUCCUUGAUUCAGCGGCGGACGGGUGAGUAAUGCCUAGGAAUCUGCCUGGUAGUGGGGGACAACGUUUCGAAAGGAACGCUAAUACCGCAUACGUCCUACGGGAGAAAGCAGGGGACCUUCGGGCCUUGCGCUAUCAGCUGAACCUAGGUCGGAUUAGCUUGUUGGUGAGGUAAUGGCUCACCAAGGCGACGAUCCGUAACUGGUCUGAGAGGAUGAUCAGUCACACUGGAACUGAGACACGGUCCAGACUCCUACGGGAGGCAGCAGUGGGGAAUAUUGGACAAUGGGCGAAAGCCUGAUCCAGCCAUGCCGCGUGUGUGAAGAAGGUCUUCGGAUUGUAAAGCACUUUAAGUUGGGAGGAAGGGUUGUAGAUUACUACUCUGCAAUUUUGACGUUACCGACAGAAUAAGCACCGGCUAACUCUGUGCCAGCCGCCGCCGUAACAC